rnacentral:rRNA from 1 species
AUUGAACGCUGGCGGCAGGCCUAACACAUGCAAGUCGAGCGGAUGAAGGGAGCUUGCUCCUGGAUUCAGCGGCGGACGGGCGAGUAAUGCCUAGGAAUCUGCCUGGUAGUGGGGGAUAACGUCCGGAAACGGGCGCUAAUACCGCAUACGUCCUGAGGGAGAAAGUGGGGGAUCUUCGGACCUCACGCUAUCAGAUGAGCCUAGGUCGGAUUAGCUAGUUGGUGGGGUAAAGGCCUACCAAGGCGACGAUCCGUAACUGGUCUGAGAGGAUGAUCAGUCACACUGGAACUGAGACACGGUCCAGACUCCUACGGGAGGCAGCAGUGGGGAAUAUUGGACAAUGGGCGAAAGCCUGAUCCAGCCAUGCCGCGUGUGUGAAGAAGGUCUUCGGAUUGUAAAGCACUUUAAGUUGGGAGGAAGAGCAGUAAGUUAAUACCUUGCUGUUUUGACGUUACCAACAGAAUAAGCACCGGCUAACUUCGUG